UUAUCCGGAUUUAUUGGGUUUAAAGGGAGCGUAGAUGGAUGUUUAAGUCAGUUGUGAAAGUUUGCGGCUCAACCGUAAAAUUGCAGUUGAUACUGGAUGUCUUGAGUGCAGUUGAGGCAGGCGGAAUUCGUGGUGUAGCGGUGAAAUGCUUAGAUAUCACGAAGAACUCCGAUUGCGAAGGCAGCCUGCUAAGCUGCAACUGACAUUGAGGCUCGAAAGUGUGGGUAUCAAACAGGAUUAGAUACCCUGGUAGUCCACACGGUAAACGAUGAAUACUCGCUGUUUGCGAUAUACGGCAAGCGGCCAAGCGAAAGCGUUAAGUAUUCCACCUGGGGAGUACGCCGGCAACGGUGAAACUCAAAGGAAUUGACGGGGGCCCGCACAACCGAAGGAACCUGUGGUUUAAUUCCAUGAUACGCGAGAACCUUACCCGGGCCUUACAUUGC
rnacentral:rRNA from 1 species